rnacentral:rRNA from 1 species
GAAUAUUGCACAAUGGACGCAAGUCUGAUGCAGCGACGCCGCGUGGGGGAUGAAGGUUUUCGGAUCGUAAACCCCUGUUAAGAGGGAAUAAAGGACCUUGAGUAAUAUGCAAGGGAGAUGAAGGUACCUCUAGAGAAAGCCCCGGCUAACUUCGUGCAAGCAGCCGCGGUAAUACGCAGGGGGCGAGCGUUAUUCGGAAGAACUGGGCGUAAAGAGAGCGUAGGUGGCAAUAUAAGUCAGUUGUUAAAGAUCACGGCCCAACCGUGAGAGUGCGAUUGAUACUGUAUAGCUAGAGGGCAGAAGAGAGAAGUGGAAUUCUCGGAGUAGCGGUAAAAUGCGUAGAUCUCGAGAGGAACACCGAUUGCGAAGGCAGCAUCUUGGUCUGUACCUGACACUCAAGCGCGAAAGCGUGGGUAGCAAACAGG